rnacentral:misc_RNA from 1 species
UCUCCGUUGGUGAACCAGCGGAGGGAUCAUUACAGAGUUUAUCAAACUCCCAAACCCAUGUGAACAUACCUUACCUUACGUUGCCUCGGCAGGUCGCGCCUACCUCGUAGCCCCUACCCUGUAGGUCCUACCCGGGAGACGCGGGUAAGCCUGCCGGCGGCCCACGAAACUCUGUAUACUUAUUGAAUCUCUGAUCUUAUAACUAAAUAAGUUAAAACUUUCAACAACGGAUCUCUUGGUUCUGGCAUCGAUGAAGAACGCAGC